CAUGAUGUUAGUUUAAUCUAUAGAUUUUAAUAACAUGUAUCAUGGUUAUAACCAUGAUGUUAGUUUAAUCUAUAGAUUUUAAUAACAUGUAUCAUGGUUAUAACCAUGAUGUUAGUUUAAUCUAUAGAUUUUAAUAACAUGUAUCAUGGUUAUAACCAUGAUGUUAGUUUAAUCUAUAGAUUUUAAUAACAUGUAUCAUGGUUAUAACCUGACCCUAAACAGACCAUAAUGGAGAUCCUUUGUUGCUGCCCUACAUGCCAGUAGGCAUAAAGGGCAGUCAGUAAGUACCAUGGUGACAUUAAACUAACUAAUGAUAGUGACUGCUGUCCUGACAUGUUACUGUAUUGUUUAUCUCUCUAUAGAAUUGUGGGGACGACUUGGUAAGGUCAGUAAAACACCGAAACAGCAGAUGAAGUUUGAUGGUAAGUUGUUAUUACACAUGUUACACUUUCUAAAUGAGUAGCAGAUAACUUAGAUAUAAUAUAUUGAGCAGUUCGUAAUAAUAGGAUCCAUACCUUUCAUAAUAUCAAUCAUAGUCCUGGGAGGUAAGGGUUAGAUUAAACUCUGACAUGUAUCAUGGUUACUUUAAACUUUAACAUGUAUCAUGAUAACAUUAAACUACUCACAUGUAUUGUGUUUAGAUUGAACUAACAUGUAUCAUGGUUACAUUAAACUAACAUGUAUCAUGGUUACUUUAAACUAACAUGUAUCAUGGUUAC